GCGAAUCGAUGGGAGCUUGCUCCCUGAGAUUAGCGGCGGACGGGUGAGUAACACGUGGGCAACCUGCCUAUAAGACUGGGAUAACUUCGGGAAACCGGAGCUAAUACCGGAUACGUUCUUUUCUCGCAUGAGAGAAGAUGGAAAGACGGUUUACGCUGUCACUUAUAGAUGGGCCCGCGGCGCAUUAGCUAGUUGGUGAGGUAAUGGCUCACCAAGGCGACGAUGCGUAGCCGACCUGAGAGGGUGAUCGGCCACACUGGGACUGAGACACGGCCCAGACUCCUACGGGAGGCAGCAGUAGGGAAUCUUCCGCAAUGGACGAAAGUCUGACGGAGCAACGCCGCGUGAACGAAGAAGGCCUUCGGGUCGUAAAGUUCUGUUGUUAGGGAAGAACAAGUACCAGAGUAACUGCUGGUACCUUGACGGUACCUAACCAGAAAGCCACGGCUAACUACGUGCCAGCAGCCGCGGUAAUACGUAGGUGGCAAGCGUUGUCCGGAAUUAUUGGGCGUAAAGCGCGCGCAGGUGGUUCCUUAAGUCUGAUGUGAAAGCCCACGGCUCAACCGUGGAGGGUCAUUGGAAACUGGGGAACUUGAGUGCAGAAGAGGAAAGUGGAAUUCCAAGUGUAGCGGUGAAAUGCGUAGAGAUUUGGAGGAACACCAGUGGCGAAGGCGACUUUCUGGUCUGUAACUGACACUGAGGCGCGAAAGCGUGGGGAGC
rnacentral:rRNA from 1 species